UGAUAGUGAAGAACUUCUGAGUACAAAGUAUUUUAGAGAAAAUUGAUACAACUUUGAAAGCUACUCAGUGAUAAAACAGCUCUUUGCAACACACUGGAAAGAAAGUAGAGAUGACAGAGAAAGAAAUUGCUCUUAAGGAGCUUACAUUCCAGUAAUGCAUGCACAGAAUGAAAUAAGUUCCAUAACAGAAGUAUGCACAAUGGAUGUGUCUUGAGAAUACAGAAUAGGAAGUUGGCUAUCAUCAAAUGGAGGGCAUUGAAGGCUGAGAAAAUAAUCAUUUUAUAUGUGAGUGUGUUUGUCUUAAAGUUGAUGAUGAAACCUGAAACAGAAGUGAAGUUGCCUAAGACUGACCAUUCCAAGAGGCAAUUAAUGAGAUACUGUUCUCAGACCCAGUGAUGAUGCUUCUAGAGAACCAUUUGGAGAGUUUUUCACGUGUUCCAUGCAAGGACUGGCAUCUGAUUCACAACUACAAAAU